CAUUUGUAACAAAAAGUAACUAGUGUUUUUAUUUUGUUUUGUUUGUCUAGUUGGAGGAAGGCCUUUGAGAGUAUCUUAUUGAAUGAUUGAGACAUUAUUAGCUAUACCAUAUUAGAUACUUGUACCCCUAGCCAGAGCUCAGCUGAGCCUGAAAUCAUAGUUCUGGACUUUUAUCUUAUCUGAAUUGGUCCUGUUUGGAGCGACCAAUCUUACACACACAUUUCAGCUUCAGAUAAAGUCAGAAAACUACAUCAGAAGGGUUAGUUCCGUUUUUGCUCUUCAGAAUUUGAUUGAUUUCCAAACUUACGUACUAAUUCUCUCGUGGGCCUUGCAUUAGGAAGGUUAAACCAAAGUAAAAUAAAACAUUUCUAGGGCUCUGUUUGUCUUCUCAAAAUGGUUAGUGCUGUGAUUGACUCCAGAAUCAGGCUUCAUCCUGGAGCAUCCAAAACUCAGGACCACCGUUUCCCGGGGACUCACGCUCAACCCCCCACACUGGGCCUGUGUACACCCCCAUCCACAGCCUCAGGAAGAAGGACCUUAAAGGUGGUCACAGAAGAAUUUACAAGCUGCUCUUAGGACUGGCUUUGUCUCAGUUGCACAUGAGCCAGAGCCACUUCUCCCAAUCAAAGGCUUCCAAGGAAAAACCAGAACAUGGUAGAUGGAUCUUCGCAACUGCUCCAAGGUCUUCCCCUCCAAAACCACAAAGCAGGCAGGUGAGUAUCCUGGAAUGAGUCCCCAGUGGCCUCCUGGGGGCUUGGAGAGGGGCCUCCAAUUUCCUGGGCAUUAUAUGUGUCAGGGGGUGGUAAUCCCAGCCAGAAGCCUGGCAUUCAGCCCCCAAGUCCUGACAUCUUGUUCUAAUCUACCCUGCCCGCUCAUUACUGGGGCAAUACAAGUCUCCAUCCUUUCCCAUCUGGUCAACACCCCCUCUCCGUCUUGGCCAGAGUAGAUUCUCAGGAACCCAAAUCCGACAACGAAGCUCCCCUGCUAAAAUCUGGAGGUCAAAAGCCUGGGAGAUAAGGGUUCCCCCUUCACCUGCAGUGGCCUUGGCCAUCAGCCCAGCCCUGUCUGCGGAUCCAGCCUUAUCUAGGCCCCACCCUCCCUCACCCC
rnacentral:lncRNA from 1 species